rnacentral:tRNA from 1 species
GGCCCUGACUCAGUGAUAAAGCAUCUGUUUUACAUGCAGAAGGUUCCAGGUUCAAUCCCUGGCAUGUCUA